UACAGAGGGGGCAAGCGUUAUUCGGAAUUAUUGGGCGUAAAGGCGCGUAGGCGGCCAUUCAAGUGACGGGUGAAAGCCCUCGGCUUAACCGAGGAACUGCCUGUCAGACUGGAUGGCUUGAGACCGGGAGAGGUGAGUGGAAUUCCCAGUGUAGCGGUGAAAUGCGUAGAUAUUGGGAGGAACACCAGUGGCGAAGGCGGCUCACUGGACCGGAACUGACGCUGAGGCGCGAAAGCGUGGGGAGCAAACAGG
rnacentral:rRNA from 1 species